rnacentral:rRNA from 1 species
UACAGAGGUCUCAAGCGUUGUUCGGAUUCAUUGGGCGUAAAGGGUGCGUAGGCGGCGCGGUAAGUCGGGGUGUGAAAUCUCGGAGCUUAACUCCGAAACUGCAUUCGAUACUGCCGUGCUUGAGGACUGGAGAGGAGACUGGAAUUUACGGUGUAGCGGUGAAAUGCGUAGAUAUCGGAAGGAACGCCGGUGGCGAAAGCGAUCCGCUGGACCUCUACUGACGCUGAGGCGCGAAAGCCAGGGGAGCAAACGGGG